UAUCAGCGCUCACCUGGCUGGUACCAAGAAGGUUCAGCAAGUGCUCCCCAGACCUGGAGUCCUGGACAGAUUCUUCCCAGACCAGCCUCAAGCUGUGCAGCAGAUCCGAGCGACAUUGGCUGACCUCUACACUCUAGACAUGGCAGGGUAAAGACAUGGUGAUGAAUGAGUGUGUGGGCCGUCUGCUGAGGACCAAGAGCUCAGGACAGUCAGACGGGGGCGUCGCAGCAGGAGUCACCGUGCUCGACAAUCCUCUGCUGUCCUGAGAUGUCACACUCCUGCCUGCACAUACAAACCACACUGAAGUCAGAGUUCCACCUGCACCUCCACCUGUUCUUGCAACAGCAUGAAAACUGACAGAGGGUGAAGAGCAGUUAGCAGUGCAUUCAUGGACAUCUUUAAACUAUUAAUUGAAGAAUCUUUGGUCAUGAUGGCAUG